rfam:Giardia lamblia ATCC 50803 SC_573 genomic scaffold, whole genome shotgun sequence.
GCGGUCAUAGUACAGUGGCUAGUAUGCGUGACUGUCACUCACGUGACCCGGGUUCGAUUCCCGGUGACCGCG